UACGGGGGGGGCAAGCGUUGUUCGGAAUUACUGGGCGUAAAGGGCUCGUAGGUGGCCAACUAAGUCAGACGUGAAAUCCCUCGGCUUAACCGGGGAACUGCGUCUGAUACUGGAUGGCUUGAGUUCGGGAGAGGGAUGCGGAAUUCCAGGUGUAGCGGUGAAAUGCGUAGAUAUCGAGAGGAACACCUGCGGCGAAGGCGGGUUGCUGGGCUGAUACUGACGCUGAGGCGCGAAAGCCAGGGGAGCGAACGGG
rnacentral:rRNA from 1 species